rnacentral:lncRNA from 1 species
GUGGGCCGUGUUACCACUUAUACUACUAGUACUACUAGAACCAGACGAGCCAUCAAGAGAAUGUUGCAAAAAAGAAAAGAAAAGCUAGCCUUGCUUGUGCGUCCUCAAUCCUCCACCGAAAAACAAAGCUAGCGCACUCCGUGCAUGCAAGGCAGCUAGCAACUAAUUCGAAAGGAUUCGAAGCUAGCUGAUGAGGCAAGAGAAAAAGAGCUGC